GACGAACGCUGGCGGCGUGCCUAAUACAUGCAAGUAGAACGCAGUUGCGAACGGGUGAGUAACGCGUAGGUAACUGCCUCAUAGCGGGGGAUAACUAUGUGAAACGAUAGCUCAUACCGCAUAAUGUGAGAUAGACCUGCGUUGUAUUAGCAAGUUGGUGAGGUAAAGGCUCACCAAGGAGACGGUACAUAGCCGGCCUGAGAGGGUGGUCGGCCCAAAUGGGACUGAGACACGGCCCAGAAUCCGACGGGAGGCAGCCGUAGGGAAUCUUCGGCAAUGGACGGAAGGCUGACCGAGCAACGCCGCGUGAGGGAAGCAGGUUUUCGGGGCGUAAAGCUCUGUUGUUAGAGAAGCGUUAACUAACGAGAAAGGAACGGCUAACUCCGUGCCAGCAGCCGCGGUAAUAC
rnacentral:rRNA from 1 species